rnacentral:rRNA from 1 species
CCUACGGGAGGCAGCAGUGGGGAAUAUUGGGCAAUGGGCGCAAGCCUGACCCAGCAACGCCGCGUGAAGGAAGAAGGCUUUCGGGUUGUAAACUUCUUUUCUCAGGGACGAAGCAAGUGACGGUACCUGAGGAAUAAGCCACGGCUAACUACGUGCCAGCAGCCGCGGUAAUACGUAGGUGGCAAGCGUUAUCCGGAUUUACUGGGUGUAAAGGGCGUGUAGGCGGGGACGCAAGUCAGAUGUGAAAACCACGGGCUCAACCUGGGGCCUGCAUUUGAAACUGUGUUUCUUGAGUACUGGAGAGGCAGACGGAAGUCCUGGUGUAGCGGUGAAAUGCGUAGAGAUUAGGAGGAACACCAGUGGCGAAGGCGGCUUACUGGACUGUAACUGACGUUGAGGCUCGAAAGCGUGGGGAGCAAACAGGAUUAGAUACCCGGGUAGUC